rnacentral:tRNA from 1 species
ACUAUUUUGGCAGAUUAGUGCAAUUUAUUAUUU